GGGGAAAAAUUAAUAAAUUAUAAAUAAUAAAAAAAUUUUUAAUAUUGGGGGAUGUUAAAGUAUUUUUUUAAGAAAAAAUAAAUUAUUUUAUAGUUAAAUAGUAUUGAAGAAGAAGUUUGAAAUAAUUGAAAAAAAAAAUUAAAAAAAAGUAAUUUUAAUUUAGUGUAUCUUGUGUAUCAGAGUUUAUUAAAAAAUAUUUUUUAUAAAAAAAAAUCUCGAAUUUAAAAGAGUUAAUUAAUUAUAAAAGUUAAUGUAGAAAAAUUAUUUUAAAUAAUUAAUUUGAAAUGAAAUGUUAAUCGUUUUUAAAUAUAUCUAGUUAUUUUAGAAAAAAAUUUAAUUUAAAAUUUAAAAAAUUUUAUUAUUAAUUAUAAUUAAUAAUAAAAUAUUUAAAAUUAAAUAUAUUAAGGGAUAAGCUUUAAUAUAAAAAUUUAUAAUAAUUUUAAUUAAAAUAUAAAAAUUUUAAAAUUUAUAUUAUUUAAAAAUUAUAAUUUGUUAUAAAAAAAUUUUAUAAAUAAUAAAAUUUAAUUUAAAAUUUAAUUUUAUAUAAAAUAAUAAUUUAAAAUAAAAUAAAAUUAAAAAUAAUGAUAAAAUUAGUAUAUUAAAAUAAAAAUAUAAUUUAAUUAAUAAAAAUUAAAUUAAAGGAAUUCGGCAAAAAUUUAUAUUCACUUGUUUAUCAAAAACAUGUCUUUUAGAUAAUAAUUUAAAGUCUAAUCUGCCCACUGAUAAUAUAUUAAAGGGCUGCAGUAUAUUGACUGUACAAAGGUAGCAUAAUCAAUAGUCUUUUAAUUGAAGACUUGUAUGAAAGAUUUGAUGAGAUAUAAGCUGUCUCUAAUUUAUAUAUAUAAAAUUUAAUUUUUUAGUUAAAAAGCUAAAAUAAAUUUAAAAGACGAGAAGACCCUAUAGAGUUUUAUAUUAAUAUUUAUUUAAGAUUAAUUAUAUAAAUAAAAAUUAAAAAUAAAAUUAGUAUUUUAUUGGGGUGAUAGAAAAAUUUAUAUAACUUUUUUUUAAAAAAAAAAUUAACAUAAAUAAGUGAGUGAUUGAUCCAUUAUUAAUGAUUAAAAGAAAAAAUUACCUUAGGGAUAACAGCGUAAUAUUUUUUUCUAGUACAAAUAGAAAAAAAAGUUUGCGACCUCGAUGUUGGAUUAAGAUAAAAUUUAAAUGCAAAAGUUUAAAAUUUUGAUCUGUUCGAUCAUUAAAAUCUUACAUGAUCUGAGUUCAAACCGGUGUGAGCCAGGUUGGUUUCUAUCUUUAAAAUAAUAAAAUAUUUUAGUACGAAAGGAUCAAAUAUUUUUAAUAAUUAAAAUUUAAUGAAUAUUAAUAAUAUAAUUAUAU
rnacentral:rRNA from 1 species